rnacentral:rRNA from 1 species
UAACGCGUGGAUAAUCUGCCUUACACUGGGGGAUAACACUUAGAAAUAGGUGCUAAUACCGCAUAAGCGCACAGAGCCGCAUGGCUCAGUGUGAAAAACUCCGGUGGUGUAAGAUGGAUCCGCGUCUGAUUAGCUGGUUGGCGGGGUAGAAGCCCACCAAGGCGACGAUCAGUAGCCGGCCUGAGAGGGUGAACGGCCACAUUGGGACUGAGACACGGCCCAAACUCCUACGGAAGGCAGCAG